rnacentral:rRNA from 1 species
AAACUAACAAGGAUUCCCCUAGUAACGGCGAGUGAAGCGGGAAAAGCUCAAAUUUGAAAUCUGGUAGCCUCAGGCUGCCCGAGUUGUAAUCUAUAGAAACGUUUUCCGCGCUGGCCCAUGUACAAGUCUCCUGGAAUGGAGCGUCAUAGAGGGUGAGAAUCCCGUCCUUGACAUGGACUACCAGUGCUUUGUGAUACGUUUUCAAAGAGUCGAGUUGUUUGGGAAUGCAGCUCAAAAUGGGUGGUAAAUUCCAUCUAAAGCUAAAUAUUGGCGAGAGACCGAUAGCGAACAAGUACCGUGAGGGAAAGAUGAAAAGCACUUUGGAAAGAGAGUUAAACAGUAUGUGAAAUUGUUGAAAGGGAAACGAUUGAAGUCAGUCAUGUCUAUUGGACUCAGCCGGUUCUGCCGGUGUACUUCCUUUAGAUGGGGUCAACAUCAGUUUUGAUCGCUGGAAAAGGGCAGGAGGAAUGUAGCACUCUCGGGUGAACUUAUAGCCUCCUGUCGUAUACAGUGGUUGGGACUGAGGAACGCAGCAUGCCUUU